CGGGUGAGUAAUGUCUGGGGAUCUGCCUGAUGGCGGGGGAUAACUACUGGAAACGGUAGCUAAUACCGCAUAAUGUCUACGGACCAAAGAGGGGGACCUUCGGGCCUCUUGCCAUCGGAUGUGCCCAGAUGGGAUUAGCUAGUAGGUGGGGUAACGGCUCACCUAGGCGACGAUCCCUAGCUGGUCUGAGAGGAUGACCAGCCACACUGGAACUGAGACACGGUCCAG
rnacentral:rRNA from 1 species